UGGUGUUUAUUGCGGUGAGGGUCCACCUGUUCCCAUUCCGAACACAGUAGUUAAGCUCAUUUGCGCCGAAAAUACUUGGCUGGCGACGGCCCGGGAAGAUAGG
rnacentral:rRNA from 1 species